GAUUUUCGCAAUGCCCGAAAGGGUGACUAUGCGACGCCGCGUGUGCGAUGAAGGUCUUCGGAUUGUAAAGCACUGUCAGCUGGGAGGAAUCUCGGGGGGUCGAACAGAUCCGCCGGGUGACAGUACCAGCAGAGGAAGCCACGGCUAACUCCGUGCCAGCAGCCGCGGUAAUACGGAGGUGGCAGGCGUUACUCGGAUUGAUUGGGUGUAAAGGGUGUGUAGGCGGUGCGCUAAGUCGAGUGUGAAAUCCCUUGGCUUAACCAAGGAACUGCAUUCGAAACUGGCGUACUUGAGUGUUGGAGAGGAAAGCGGAAUUCCCGGUGUAACAGUGAAAUGUGUAGAUAUCGGGAGGAACACCAGUGGCGAAGGCGGCUUUCUGGACAUCUACUGACGCUGAAACACGAGAGCAUGGGGAGCAAACAGGAUUAGAUACCCUGGUAGUCCACGCCCUAAACGGUGGGCACUAAGUAGAGGGGUUUUAAUC
rnacentral:rRNA from 1 species